rnacentral:ncRNA from 2 species
UGCGCCCGGUCAGGAGAGAGCCCUUCUUGCAAGGGCCGCCGAAGGCGCAGGACCCAGCCGUCCAAACGCUCAGGCAAAAGGACUGACCCAGGUCG